rnacentral:rRNA from 1 species
GACGAACGCUGGCGGCGUGCUUAACACAUGCAAGUCGAGCGAUGAACUACCAGCUUGCUGGUGGGGAUUAGUGGCGAACGGGUGAGUAACACGUGAGUAACCUGCCCUGGACUCUGGGAUAACCCCGAGAAAUCGGAGCUAAUACCGGAUAGGACCUUUCCCUGCAUGGGGUUUGGUGGAAAGCUUUUCGGUCUGGGAUGGACUCGCGGCCUAUCAGCUUGUUGGUGAGGUAAUGGCUCACCAAGGCGUCGACGGGUAGCCGGCCUGAGAGGGUGACCGGCCACACUGGGACUGAGACACGGCCCAGACUCCUACGGGAGGCAGCAGUGGGGAAUAUUGCACAAUGGGCGCAAGCCUGAUGCAGCAACGCCGCGUGCGGGAUGACGGCCUUCGGGUUGUAAACCGCUUUUAGUAGGGAAGAAGGGCUUCGGCUUGACGGUACCUGCAGAAAAAGGACCGGCUAACUACGUGCCAGCCGCCGCCGUAAGAC